rnacentral:rRNA from 1 species
GACGAACGCUGGCGGCAUGCCUAAUACAUGCAAGUUGAACGAUGAUAUUCUCUGCUUGCAGAGAAUUGAAGAGUAGCGAACGGGUGAGUAACACGUGGGGAACCUGCCCAUGAGAGGGGGAUAACAUUCGGAAACGGAUGCUAAUACCGCAUAAUGCUUUGGACCGCCUGGUCCAGAGACGAAAGACGGCUUUUGCUGUCACUCAUGGAUGGCCCCGCGCCGUAUUAGCUAGUUGGUGAGGUAAUGGCUCACCAAAGCUGUGAUACGUAGCCGACCUGAGAGGGUGAUCGGCCACACUGGGACUGAGACACGGCCCAGACUCCUACAGGAGGCAGCAGUAGGGAAUCUUCCACAAUGGGCGAAAGCCUGAUGGAGCAAUGCCGCGUGAAUGAAGAAGGUCUUCGGAUCGUAAAGUUCUGUUAUUAGAGAAGAACAAGUCAAGGAGUAACUGUCUUGACUUUGACGGUACCUAACCAGAAAGUCACGGCUAACUACGUG